rnacentral:rRNA from 1 species
UACAGAGGUCUCAAGCGUUGUUCGGAUUCAUUGGGCGUAAAGGGUGCGUAGGCGGCGCGGUAAGUCGGGUGUGAAAUCUCGGGAGCUUAACUCCGAAACUGCAUUCGAUACUGCCGUGCUUGAGGACUGGAGAGGAGACUGGAAUUUACGGUGUAGCGGUGAAAUGCGUAGAUAUCGUAAGGAAGACCAGUGGCGAAGGCGGAGUCUCUGGGCCGAUACUGGACCGCUGAGGAGCGAAAGCGUGGGGAGCGAACAG